rnacentral:rRNA from 1 species
ACGGGUGAGUAACACGUAAAGAACCUGCCUCAUAGACGGGGACAACUAUUGGAAACGAUAGCUAAUACCGGAUAACAGCAUAAAUCGCAUGAUAUAUGUUUAAAAGUUGGUUUCGGCUAACACUAUGAGAUGGCUUUGCGGUGCAUUAGCUAGUUGGUGGGGUAAAGGCCUACCAAGGCGACGAUGCAUAGCCGACCUGAGAGGGUGAUCGGCCACACUGGGACUGAGACACGGCCCAGACUCCUACGGGAGGCAGCAGUAGGGAAUCUUCCGCAAUGGGCGAAAGCCUGACGGAGCAACGCCGCGUGAGUGAAGAAGGAUUUCGGUUCGUAAAGCUCUGUUGUUAGGGAAGAAUGAUUGUGUAGUAACUAUACACAGUAGAGACGGUACCUAACCAGAAAGCCACGGCUAACUACGUGCCAGCAGCCGCGGUAAUACGUAGGUGGCAAGCGUUGUCCGGAAUUAUUGGGCGUAAAGGGCUUGUAGGCGGUUGGUCGCGUCUGCCGUGAAAUCCUCUGGCUUAACUGGGGGCGUGCGGUGGGUACGGGCUGACUUGAGUGCGGUAGGGGAGACUGGAACUCCUGGUGUAGCGGUGGAAUGCGCAGAUAUCAGGAAGAACACCGGUGGCGAAAGGCGGGUCUCUGGGCCGUUACUGACGCUGAGGAGCGAAAGCGUGGGGAGCGAACAGAAUUAGAUACCCUGGUAGUCCACGCUGUAAAC